rnacentral:rRNA from 1 species
AAAUUGAAGAGUUUGAUCAUGGCUCAGAUUGAACGCUGGCGGCAGGCCUAACACAUGCAAGUCGAACGGUAACAGGAAACAGCUUGCUGUUUCGCUGACGAGUGGCGGACGGGUGAGUAAUGUCUGGGAAACUGCCUGAUGGAGGGGGAUAACUACUGGAAACGGUAGCUAAUACCGCAUAAUGUCGCAAGACUAAAGAGGGGGACCUUCGGGCCUCUUGCCAUCGGAUGUGCCCAGAUGGGAUUAGCUAGUAGGUGGGGUAACGGCUCACCUAGGCGACGAUCCCUAGCUGGUCUGAGAGGAUGACCAGCCACACUGGAACUGAGACACGGU